rnacentral:rRNA from 1 species
GACGAACGCUGGCGGCGUGCCUAAUACAUGCAAGUAGAACGCUGAAGAGAGGAGCUUGCUCUUCUUGGAUGAGUUGCGAACGGGUGAGUAACGCGUAGGUAACCUGCCUGGUAGCGGGGGAUAACUAUUGGAAACGAUAGCUAAUACCGCAUGAUAUUAAUUAUUGCAUGAUAAUUGAUUGAAAGAUGCAAUUGCAUCACUACCAGAUGGACCUGCGUUGUAUUAGCUAGUUGGUGAGGUAACGGCUCACCAAGGCGACGAUACAUAGCCGACCUGAGAGGGUGAUCGGCCACACUGGGACUGAGACACGGCCCAGACUCCUACGGGAGGCAGCAGUAGGGAAUCUUCGGCAAUGGGGGGAACCCUGACCGAGCAACGCCGCGUGAGUGAAGAAGGUUUUCGGAUCGUAAAGCUCUGUUGUAAGAGAAGAACGGGUGUGAGAGUGGAAAGUUCACACUGUGACGGUAUCUACCCA